rnacentral:rRNA from 1 species
UAGCGGCGGACGGGUGAGUAAUGCUUAGGAAUCUGCCUAUUAGUGGGGGACAACAUUCCGAAAGGAAUGCUAAUACCGCAUACGUCCUACGGGAGAAAGCAGGGGAUCUUCGGACCUUGCGCUAAUAGAUGAGCCUAAGUCGGAUUAGCUAGUUGGUGGGGUAAAGGCCUACCAAGGCGACGAUCUGUAGCGGGUCUGAGAGGAUGAUCCGCCACACUGGGACUGAGACACGGCCCAGACUCCUACGGGAGGCAGCAGUGGGGAAUAUUGGACAAUGGGGGGAACCCUGAUCCAGCCAUGCCGCGUGUGUGAAGAAGGCCUUAUGGUUGUAAAGCACUUUAAGCGAGGAGGAGGCUACUGAGACUAAUACUCUUGGAUAGUGGACGUUACUCGCAGAAUAAGCACCGGCUAACUCUGUGCCAGCAGCCGCGGUAAUACAGAGGGUGCGAGCGUUAAUCGGAUUUACUGGGCGUAAAGCGUGCGUAGGCGGCUUUUUAAGUCGGAUGUGAAAUCCCCGAGCUUAACUUGGGAAUUGCAUUCGAUACUGGGAAGCUAGAGUAUGGGAGAGGAUGGUAGAAUUCCAGGUGUAGCGGUGAAAUGCGUAGAGAUCUGGAGGAAUACCGAUGGCGAAGGCAGCCAUCUGGCCUAAUACUGACGCUGAGGUACGAAAGCAUGGGGAGCAAACAGGAUUAGAUACCCUGGUAGUCCAUGCCGUAAACGAUGUCUACUAGCCGUUGGGGCCUUUGAGGCUUUAGUGGCGCAGCUAACGCGAUAAGUAGACCGCCUGGGGAGUACGGUCGCAAGACUAAAACUCAAAUGAAUUGACGGGGGCCCGCACAAGCGGUGGAGCAUGUGGUUUA